rnacentral:rRNA from 1 species
GACGUAGGACGCGAGCGUUUGUCCGGAUUUAUUGGGCGUAAAGAGCUCGUAGGCGGCUUGUUGUCGUCGGGCUGUCGAAAUCCCGUGGCUUAACUGCGGGUCUGCAGCCGAUACGGGCAGGCGUGGGAGUUCGGUAGGGGAGACUGGGAAUUCCUGGAUGUAGCGGUGAAAUGCGGCCAGAUAUCAGGAGGAACACCGGUGGCGAAGGCGGGUCUCGUGGG